rnacentral:lncRNA from 1 species
UAGAGGGCCACCACUGGUAUACACCAGCCUCCUGCACCACUUUUUUAGUGUGGUUACAGUGAGAAAUUCAAUCAAUCAAGUGCCUAUGGCUAGUAGUAGUAGGUACUGUACUAGAAGACCUUACCAAAUCCAGAUGCAAAUGAAGAGAAAGGUGUUAGGGGAGUUGUUACUGACAUUGUUAUAGAAGAUAAUGGUCAACCAAAAGGAACAACACCAGGCAUAUUAACCAGAGAAGGAGAAGCAAAAUUGGCAGUUUCUUUCCUAACAUUGUAAGAAAAAAACCAAUCUGUAUUAAAAGCUGUAAAUGAAGAAUCCACAUUAGGUUAUGUUGAGGAAUUAUUUGAUGCUCUUCAUUUGAGAGUCGGUAUGAGAUCAAAAUGCUUAAGGAUGCACUUGACAAUGCAAAAGAAAAUCAUGACGUCAUUCCUGAACAAAUAACAAAUUACUUUAUUUGGACUGAUAAGGCUACAUUGGUCAGGGAAAGAAAGUCAAUAUUCAAAUGAAACAAAAGUUUAAUGUAGGUUAUGCAGUAAUGUUAAAAUUAGGAAUUCAAGUGCAAGUAUCGGAAGGAAAUGGCUUCCAUAUUGUAAGAACUGCACAUGCUGGUAUUACUCUUCGGUUGUUUCGGCCAAGCUUGUGCCAGAUCCAACAUAUGAAUUGCCUGCCUGUAUGCAACAUGACGGUACAAUCUAAUACAGUAAUGUUAAUGCAGGACCCCAAUGGAAAUAAACCUGCUAUUGGUUUUCUUGGGCUAUCCUGGCCAAUGUUUGUUAAUGUUUCCCUGUUUGUUAACUGUAAACUUUUGGCUGAAUAAAUAAAUGAAUGAA